GGAGUUGUGGCUCAGUGGUAGAGCACUUGCUUAGCAUGUGUGAGGCCCUGGGUUCAAUUCUCAGCACUGCA
rnacentral:tRNA from 1 species